rnacentral:tRNA from 8 species
AAACUUAAAAUCCGUUGGCUUUAUUGACCGUGAGGGUUCAAGUCCCUCUACCCCCA